GUCUCCGUAGCUCAGCUGGAUAGAGCACCGCUUUCCUAAAGCGAAGGUCAGAGGUUCGAAUCCUCUCGGGGACGCCA
rnacentral:tRNA from 1 species